UACGAAGGGGGCUAGCGUUGCUCGGAAUCACUGGGCGUAAAGCGCACGUAGGCGGAUUGCUAAGUCAGGGGUGAAAUCCUGGAGCUCAACUCCAGAACUGCCUUUGAUACUGGCGAUCUCGAGUCCGGGAGAGGUGAGUGGAACUGCGAGUGUAGAGGUGAAAUUCGUAGAUAUUCGCAAGAACACCAGUGGCGAAGGCGGCUCACUGGCCCGGUACUGACGCUGAGGCACGAAGGUCAGGGGAGCAAACGGG
rnacentral:rRNA from 1 species